rnacentral:rRNA from 1 species
UACGAAGGGGGCUAGCGUUGCUCGGAAUUACUGGGCGUAAAGGGAGCGUAGGCGGGUUAUCAAGUUGGGGGUGAAAGCCCGGGGCUCAACCUCGGAAUUGCCUUCAAAACUGAUAACCUGGAGUAUGGAAGAGGUAAGUGGAACUCCGAGUGUAGAGGUGAAAUUCGUAGAUAUUCGGAAGAACACCAGUGGCGAAGGCGACUUACUGGUCCAUUACUGACGCUGAGGCUCGAAAGCCAGGGGAGCGAACGGG